rnacentral:rRNA from 1 species
ACGAACGCUGGCGGCGUGCCUAAUACCUGCAAGUUGAGCGAUGAAGAUUGGUGCUUGCACCCAUUUGAAGAGCAGCGAACGGGUGAGUAACGCGUGGGGAAUCUGCCUUUGAGCGGGGGACAACAUUUGGAAACGAAUGCUAAUACCGCAUAACAACUUUAAACAUAAGUUUUAAGUUUGAAAGAUGCAAUUGCAUCACUCAAAGAUGAUCCCGCGUUGUAUUAGCUAGUUGGUGAGGUAAAGGCUCACCAAGGCGAUGAUACAUAGCCGACCUGAGAGGGUGAUCGGCCACAUUGGGACUGAGACACGGCCCAAACUCCUACGGGAGGCAGCAGUAGGGAAUCUUCGGCAAUGGACGAAAGUCUGACCGAGCAACGCCGCGUGAGUGAAGAAGGUUUUCGGAUCGUAAAACUCUGUUGGUAGAGAAGAACGUUGGUGAGAGUGGAAAGCUCAUCAAGUGACGGUAACUACCCAGAAAGGGACGGCUAACUACGUG